rnacentral:rRNA from 1 species
GCUUACGGCCAUCCAUCCUGGCUAUACCCGAUCUCCGUCUGAUCUCGGAAGCUAAGCAGGUUUGGGCCUGGUUAGUACUUGGAUGGGAGACCGCCUUGGGAAUACCAGGUUGCUGUAAGCU